GAUGAACGCUGGCGGCGUGCCUAAUACAUGCCAGUCGAGCGAACAGACGAGGAGCUUGCUCCUCUGACGUUAGCGGCGGACGGGUGAGUAACACGUGGAUAACCUACCUAUAAGACUGGGAUAACUUCGGGAAACCGGAGCUAAUACCGGAUAAUAUAUUGAACCGCAUGGUUCAAUAGUGAAAGACGGUUUUGCUGUCACUUAUAGAUGGAUCUGCGCCGCAUUAGCUAGUUGGUAAGGUAACGGCUUACCAAGGCGACGAUGCGUAGCCGACCUGAGAGGGUGGUCGGCCACACUGGAACUGAGACACGGACCAGACUCCUACGGGAGGCAGCAGUAGGGAAUCUUCCGCAAUGGGCGAAAGCCUGACGGAGCAACGCCGCGUGAGUGAUGAAGGUCUUCGGAUCGUAAAACUCUGUUAUUAGGGAAGAACAAAUGUGUAAGUAACUAUGCACGUCUUGACGGUACCUAAUCAGAAAGCCACGGCUAACUACGUG
rnacentral:rRNA from 1 species